ACUCCUACGGGUGGCUGCAGUGGGGAAUAUUGGACAAUGGGCGAAAGCCUGAUCCAGCCAUGCCGCGUGUGUGAAGAAGGCCUUUUGGUUGUAAAGCACUUUAAGUGGGGAGGAAAAGCUUAUGGUUAAUACCCAUAAGCCCUGACGUUACCCACAGAAUAAGCACCGGCUAACUCUGUGCCAGCAGCCGCGGUAAUACAGAGGGUGCAAGCGUUAAUCGGAAUUACUGGGCGUAAAGCGCGCGUAGGUGGUUAUUUAAGUCAGAUGUGAAAGCCCCGGGCUUAACCUGGGAACUGCAUCUGAUACUGGAUAACUAGAGUAGGUGAGAGGGGAGUAGAAUUCCAGGUGUAGCGGUGAAAUGCGUAGAGAUCUGGAGGAAUACCGAUGGCGAAGGCAGCUCCCUGGCAUCAUACUGACACUGAGGUGCGAAAGCGUGGGUAGCAAACAGGAUUAGAUACCCUGGUAGUCCACGCCGUAAACGAUGUCUACCAGUCGUUGGGUCUUUUAAAGACUUAGUGACGCAGUUAACGCAAUAAGUAGACCGCCUGGGGAGUACGGCCGCAAGGUUAAAACUCAAAUGAAUUGACGGGGGCCCGCACAAGCGGUGGAGCAUGUGGUUUAAUUCGAUGCAACGCGAAGGACCUUACCUGGUCUUGACAUAGUGAGAAUCUUGCAGAGAUGCGAGAGUGCCUUCGGGAAUUCACAUACAGGUGAUGCAUGGCUGUCGUCAGCUCG
rnacentral:rRNA from 1 species